rnacentral:lncRNA from 1 species
AUGACAGGAGGGACGCUCUCGCAGCCUGCUCCAGACACCGUGUGCAGGCUCGCUUUCUGUCCAGGCCUCUUGUCUCUGCACGGCAGGAGCUGCGGUCUCGGUCUCUGUGGAAGCAAGGCUGUCUCAAAACAGAGAAAAGAUACACUACCUGCGGUGGGGGAGAUCCUCUCUGUGCACGCGGCUCUUGACUCCGGACGCGGAGGGGGCACGACGCCUGGCGCGGGACGCGGUCCUUGGGAGGCCAUUCCAGACUCCUCGGGGAGUGCUCUCUGCGGAGGCAAGCCUUGGGCCCGACGCCCGGGAAGCCGGCAGGAGCGAGGAAGGAUCCACGAUGUUGGUCGGCAUUCGGGGUGCCGCAGGAGGCGGCAUUCUGGGUUCGGACCUCUGGGAGGGGGAGAGGCCGGGGAAGGGAGACCUGCUCCUGGGAUAGCGUUCAGUGUCCCCGCGGCUCGUGGAGGGAAACACAGCGUCCACGGGGCCGCUGUCUGUGGGGCGGCCUCUGGGGCUGGGAGGGGCACGGGGCAAAAGGCCGGCCGCAGCAGGGGCGCUUUCUCGGAGGACUCUGGAGGCCCCGGGCUUGCUCUCAGAGCUCUGAGAGUCGCCGGCGCCCACCGCUACGCUUUCAGGGACCAGUCCAGUCAUUCUUGGGGCCAGUUUUGUCUCGUGGCACAGGGAAGGGACAAAGCCUGUGACCUGGGCGUCUCCCUCCACCUCCAGCCUGGUGAUUAUGGGCUUCCUCUUGGGGGAAGACAAGCCAGUGUCCGGACACUCGGUGGAGGGAGUGCUAAUGGGGGGGGGCAGGGCCUGUGCGGGCACAGUGCUCACCACGGGUUUGGUGCUCUGGGUCGAGGUGGCAGAGUUCGUGGACCCUGUGGAAGAGCCGCUGAUGGGGGGGGAGAGUCUUUCAGGGAAGACGCCCCCUUGAGGCUUGCUCUCAGUGGAGACAGGGGGGGUCUCGGCGCUUUCAGAGGCCAAGAUGUUUGCGGGUGGAGCCAGGGUCUCCGAGAGCAGCCCGGUGGCGGUGGGCUUGCUCUCUGGGGCGGCACAGGUCGUCUCUGA